AUUGAACGCUGGCGGCAUGCUUUACACAUGCAAGUCGAACGGUAACAGGCCUUCGGGUGCUGACGAGUGGCGAACGGGUGAGUAAUGCAUCGGAACGUGCCCAGAGGUGGGGGAUAACGCAGCGAAAGCUGUGCUAAUACCGCAUGUGAUCUGAGGAUGAAAGCGGGGGACCAGGCAGCAAUGUUUGGCCUCGCGCCUUUGGAGCGGCCGAUGUCAGAUUAGGUAGUUGGUGGGGUAAAGGCCUACCAAGCCGAUGAUCUGUAGCUGGUCUGAGAGGGCGACCAGCCACACUGGGACUGAGACACGGCCCAGACUCCUACGGGAGGCAGCAGUGGGGAAUUUUGGACAAUGGGCGCAAGCCUGAUCCAGCAAUGCCGCGUGCGGGAAGAAGGCCUUCGGGUUGUAAACCGCUUUUGUACGGAACGAAAAGGCUCUGGCUAAUACCUGGGGCUGAUGACGGUACCGUAAGAAUAAGCACCGGCUAACUACGUG
rnacentral:rRNA from 1 species